rnacentral:rRNA from 1 species
AUUGAACGCUGGCGGAAUGCUUUACACAUGCAAGUCGAACGGCAGCACGGGUGCUUGCACCUGGUGGCGAGUGGCGAACGGGUGAGUAAUACAUCGGAACGUACCCAGUCGUGGGGGAUAGCGUAGCGAAAGUUACGCUAAUACCGCAUACGUCCUGAGGGAGAAAGCGGGGGACCGUAAGGCCUCGCGCGAUUGGAGCGGCCGAUGUCUGAUUAGCUAGUUGGUGAGGUAAAGGCUCACCAGGGCGACGAUCAGUAGCUGGUCCGAGAGGAUGAUCAGCCACACUGGAACUGAGACACGGUCCAGACUCCUACGGGAGGCAGCAGUGGGGAAUUUUGGACAAUGGGCGAAAGCCUGAUCCAGCCAUUCCGCGUGAGUGAAGAAGGCCUUCGGGUUGUAAAGCUCUUUCGGCAGGAACGAAACGCUCUAGAUUAAUACUCUGGGGUAAUGACGGUACCUGAAGAAGAAGCACCGGCUAACUACGUGCCAGCCGCCGCGGUAA